GUAAAAUUGAUGCUCCAAGAAGAUACACAACGUUGACCAUGUGGAUUCAGAUAUCUCCCGCUUGGAUCUCAGCCUGGAUCUUGUUGUUUGAGAAGCAUAGAUUAGCUACAGAAUGCCAUGUCAUACAUCCAAUAAAAUUCAACUCUGCAAGCAUGAGAGAGAAGAGGAAGGAAAAGAGAGAAUCUGAAGUAGUUGGAUCACUAGAGGGCAAUAUCGG
rnacentral:lncRNA from 1 species